rnacentral:rRNA from 1 species
AGCAGCCGCGGUAAUUCCAGCUCCAAUAGCGUAUAUUAAAGUUGUUGCAGUUAAAAAGCUCGUAGUUGAAUUUCGGGAUCAAUAUGCUGGUCGUGCCUUUGGUACGUACUGGUAUUAUUGGUUUCUCCUUUCUGAUGAAUCACGAUGUCAUUAAUUUGGUGUCAUGGGGAAUCAGGACUGUUACUUUGAAAAAUUAGAGUGUUUAAAGCAGGCUUACGCUUGAAUACAUUAGCAUGGAAUAAUGAAAUAGGACGUUUAAUUCUAUUUUGUUGGUUUCUAGGAUUGACGUAAUGAUUAAUAGGGAUAGUUGGGGGCAUUAGUAUUCAAUUGUCAGAGGUGAAAUUCUUGGAUUUAUUGAAGACUAACUACUGCGAAAGCAUUUGCCAAGGAUGUUUUCAUUAAUCAAGAACGAAAGUUAGGGGAUCGAAGACGAUCAGAUACCGUCGUAGUCUUAACCAUAAACUAUGCCGACUAGGGAUCGGAUGAUGUUAAUUUAUGACUCAUUCGGCGUAC